UACGAAGGGGGCUAGCGUUGCUCGGAAUCACUGGGCGUAAAGCGCACGUAGGCGGAUUGUUAAGUCGGGGGUGAAAUCCUGGAGCUCAACUCCAGAACUGCCUUCGAUACUGGCGAUCUUGAGUCCGGAAGGGGUGAGUGGAACUCCGAGUGUAGAGGUGAAAUUCGUAGAUAUUCGGAAGAACACCAGUGGCGAAGGCGGCUCACUGGCCCGGUACUGACGCUGAGGUGCGAAAGCGUGGGGAGCAAACAGG
rnacentral:rRNA from 1 species